GGAAUAAUAAGUCAGUUGUGAAAGUUUGCGGCUCAACCGUAAAAUUGCAGUUGAUACUGUUAUUCUUGAGUGUACAUAAGGUAGGCGGAAUUCGUGGUGUAGCGGUGAAAUGCUUAGAUAUCACGAAGAACUCCAAUUGCGAAGGCAGCUUACCGGGGCACAACUGACGCUGAGGCACGAAAGUGUGGGUAUCAAACAGGAUUAGAUACCCUGGUAGUCCACACAGUAAACGAUGAAUACUCGCUGUUUGCGAUAUACCGCAAGCGGCCAAGCGAAAGCAUUAAGUAUUCCACCUGGGGAGUACGCCGGCAACGGUGAAACUCAAAGGAAUUGACGGGGGCCCGCACAAGCGGAGGAACAUGUGGUUUAAUUCGAUGAUACGCGAGGAACCUUACCCAGGCUUAGAUUGCAGAUGAAUAUAGUGGAAACAUUAUAGCCUUUAUGGCAUCUGUGAAGGUGCUGCAUGGUUGUCGUCAGCUCGUGCCGUGAGGUGUCGGCUUAAGUGCCAUAACGAGCGCAACCCUUAUUGAUAGUUACUAACAGGUUAAGCUGAGGACUCUAUCGAGACUGCCGUCGUAAGAUGCGAGGAAGGUGGGGAUGACGUCAAAUCAGCACGGCCCUUACGUCUGGGGCUACACACGUGUUACAAUGGGGGGUACAGAAGGUCGCUACCUGGCAACAGGAUGCUAAUCCCAAAAGCCUCUCUCAGUUCGGAUUGGAGUCUGCAACCCG
rnacentral:rRNA from 1 species